rnacentral:rRNA from 1 species
CAGCAGCCGCGGUAAUACGUAGGGUGCAAGCGUUAAUCGGAAUUACUGGGCGUAAAGCGUGCGCAGGCGGUCCGCUAAGACAGAUGUGAAAUCCCCGGGCUUAACCUGGGAACUGCAUUUGUGACUGGCGGGCUAGAGUAUGGCAGAGGGGGGUAGAAUUCCACGUGUAGCAGUGAAAUGCGUAGAGAUGUGGAGGAAUACCGAUGGCGAAGGCAGCCCCCUGGGCCAAUACUGACGCUCAUGCACGAAAGCGUGGGGAGUAAACAGGAUUAGAUACCCGAGUAGUCCCUGUCUCUUAUAA